rnacentral:rRNA from 1 species
GAUGAACGCUGGCGGCGUGCUUAACACAUGCAAGUCGAACGGAAAGGCCCAAUCUUGCUUGGUUGCUCGAGUGGCGAACGGGUGAGUAACACAUGGGUUAGCUGCCCUGCACUUCGUGAUAAGCCUGGGAAACUGGGUCUAAUACCGGAUAUGACCACUUCUUGUGUGUUGUGGGAUAAAGAGUUAUGGUUGUGGGGUGACUUCGCGGCCUAUCAGCUUGUUGGUGGGGGAAUGGCCUACCAAGGAGUCGUCGGGUAGCCGGCCUGCGAGGGUGUACGGCCAGACACGAGGUGAGCGAGAGACCGGACUCACACGGGAGGCAGACGGGGGGAAUAUAGAACGGAGGGCGGGGGCAUGAGGCAGCGAGGAGUUCUGGGGGAAGAAGGCCUUUGUGCGGUAAACACCUUUCUCUAAGGACGAAGGGAUUUUGUGACGGUACCUGGAGAAGAAGCAACGGCUAACUACGUG